AUCAAAGUGUUAUCCUGGAAUUCAAGUGAAGACAGUGUUUCAAAGUGGAAAUGAACAGUGUCCUGUAACCCUCAGAGUGAGACUAGAGUCAGAAUGCAGGCUUUUCUCAUUUGAAAUCUAUAUGCCACAGAGAGGAUCCAGAGAGCCCAUCUCCGGUCAGUUAUCUGUAUUUGUAUGUCAACUACAGCAUCAAAAAGCAUAGGCAUGGAUACUAAGGACCCCCUCUGUACACCAACGCCAGUCCAAAGGACAGUGUGUCACUGUGAACUGGAAAUUCAUCUCUCUUCUUCAAUUUUUUUCUACCUACUUUAUGCUUUAUCUCUAAGUUGAGGCUGUUUAUGGCCUCAUCCUCAAUUACCUUGUCCCUCAUUACUCCCAGUUAAUGGAGAUUAAGCUUUGUAUCAUGACUUCCUAACUAAAAUUGAAAUCACAAGACAUCACAUAAAUAAAGUUACAAAUGGAUUAGA
rnacentral:lncRNA from 1 species